GUGGGGAAUUUUGGACAAUGGGCGCAAGCCUGAUCCAGCAAUGCCGCGUGCAGGAAGAAGGCCUUCGGGUUGUAAACUGCUUUUGUACGGAACGAAACGGCUCUGGUUAAUACCCGGGGCUAAUGACGGUACCGUAAGAAUAAGCACCGGCUAACUACGUGCCAGCAGCCGCGGUAAUACGUAGGGUGCGAGCGUUAAUCGGAAUUACUGGGCGUAAAGCGUGCGCAGGCGGUGCUGUAAGACAGGCGUGAAAUCCCCGGGCUCAACCUGGGAAUUGCGCUUGUGACUGCAGUGCUGGAGUGCGGCAGAGGGGGAUGGAAUUCCGCGUGUAGCAGUGAAAUGCGUAGAUAUGCGGAGGAACACCGAUGGCGAAGGCAAUCCCCUGGGCCUGCACUGACGCUCAUGCACGAAAGCGUGGGGAGCAAACAGGAUUAGAUACCCGGGUAGUCC
rnacentral:rRNA from 1 species